rnacentral:rRNA from 1 species
CAGCCGCCACGGUAAUACGUAGGUGGCAAGCGUUAUCCGGAAUUAUUGGGCGUAAAGCGCGCGUAGGCGGUUUCUUAAGUCUGAUGUGAAAGCCCACGGCUCAACCGUGGAGGGUCAUUGGAAACUGGGAAACUUGAGUGCAGAAGAGGAAAGUGGAAUUCCAUGUGUAGCGGUGAAAUGCGCAGAGAUAUGGAGGAACACCAGUGGCGAAGGCGACUUUCUGGUCUGUAACUGACGCUGAUGUGCGAAAGCGUGGGGAUCAAACAGGAUUAGAUACCCCAGUAGUCCCUGUCUCUUAUAC